rnacentral:rRNA from 1 species
GACGAACGCUGGCGGCGUGCCUAAUACAUGCAAGUCGAACGCUUCUUUCCUCCCGAGUGCUUGCACUCAAUUGGAAAGAGGAGUGGCGGACGGGUGAGUAACACGUGGGUAACCUACCCAUCAGAGGGGGAUAACACUUGGAAACAGGUGCUAAUACCGCAUAACAGUUUAUGCCGCAUGGCAUAAGAGUGAAAGGCGCUUUCGGGUGUCGCUGAUGGAUGGACCCGCGGUGCAUUAGCUAGUUGGUGAGGUAACGGCUCACCAAGGCCACGAUGCAUAGCCGACCUGAGAGGGUGAUCGGCCACACUGGGACUGAGACACGGCCCAGACUCCUACGGGAGGCAGCAGUAGGGAAUCUUCGGCAAAGGACGAAAGUCUGACCGAGCAACGCCACGUGAGUGAAGAAGGUUUUCGGAUCGUAAAACUCUGUUGUUAGAGAAGAACAAGGACGUUAGUAACUGAACGUCCCCUGACGGUAUCUAACCAGAAAGACACGGCUAACUACGUG